CCUAGGUCACACAGCCACGUGGGUCCCUCCCGGCCCGAGAUGGGCGCCCGUUCCCGCUUCCGGCCCUGCUGACCAGCCGCAGGCUCCGCAGCGCCGGGUGCUCCCGCAUGGAGCGGCUCAGCAGAUACUGCCACAGGGGGCUGUCCUCCGGGGGCAGCAGGCGCUUCUCUCGCCGGGAUCGCCAUGGAGGGAACCGUCUCCCUGCCGGGGAGGGGUGGUGCUGGGUCAGGGCCUGGGGCUCCAGGGCGCCAGGGCGCCGGUGUCUCAGUUCACAAUGAAGGGAGCAAAAUGUCGCCUCCGAAUCUGUUACAGGGCCUUUUCCUAGAAGACCAGGGAGCUGAAGACAAAGGCUCACGUGAUUCCAGGGGACCCACCCGGCUAAUCCAGGAUAAUCUCCCCAUUUCAAGGUUGAGUGACAGAUUCCACACUGAACUCAAAAUCACGCUCUCCAAAGAUAAAGAGACUGAAGCUCAGAGAGGUGAAUGACCUUCUGGCGGUCACACAGCCAGGAAGAGGUGGAGCCUGGAUCUUCUGUCCCUGGGCCCAUUGGAGCAGGUGGGCUCCAAAGAUAUACUCUGCCGAUUUCUUAAGGGCUGCUGAAGGUUGCUGCUAAUGACUCCCAGCUGCCCCUUCGCUGGAGAUGAGCCCUCAGCCAAACGAGAGGCGUCCCCCGGAAGGCCGGCCCACCCUGCCUUCCUUUCCCGACCUGGGCAGUCGAUGGCUGAUGACCGGCUGAUGUGGUGCAAAAGACCACCCCAAGCCUCAAGUUGUGUUUGGUGAAGAGGUUGGUCUGAUACAAGCUAAUCCACCAUAUCCAGAAGCAAUACAAAGAACAUGGACUUUGGAGCCAGAACUCCAGGAUUCAAAUCUCAGUUCCAUCGUUUACUUGUCCUGUGAUCAUG